GAAAUAAAAUAACUAUCAUUCAUUUUUUAUUAUAAACUUAUAUUUGUUGAUAUGAAAGGAAAGCUCUUCUUACAUAAAUUCCCCAACUCCAACGUAGAUUUAAAGUUGAAAACAAUAGACAGACUCAAUGGCUUUAGAAAUAAUUUAGAAAUAUUACUUUUUUCUAGUUGCAUGGAAUUUCCAAUGUCUUUUACGGUGAAGACUCAAGAAUGUCCUAUUAUAUGUGCAUGGAGCAACUCAUUCCAGGUAUCAGGCAAUCCUGGAACACACCAGUGAAGACAAUCUGCAAACUCAGCUGGAUUUGCCUUUUGCUUUGGACCAUUUGUAUUGUAAAAUGAAGGAUGAGCAUCUUUCCUGUACUCUGAUAGGGUUGUUAUGUUAAGGAAAUGAACUGGUAUUUUCAUCGAUCCAAUCACAUUCGCAGCAAUUGCGGAAAUUUUCCUGUCUGUUCCCAAAUCUAAUGCCAUGGAAGUGUUUAGAAUUGGUAAUGUCUCACCAGCACAAUUAACACCAUUUGGAUUGUUCCAGUCUGAGCUCCUGUAUCAUUUGCACUCAGCUUGUUAAUAUCAUCGAUAUCUAUACAUUAUAGUCUGUUUGACAUAAAAGUUGAAACUGCUUCUCAAAAAAUGCCUAGCUAUCCCGAGGGAGACUUCAGAUGGAACCAGCUUUUAGAUGGUUGGAUUAGCCUUUCGCCUCUAUAGCCGAGUCAGAUAAACAAUUUGCACGUUAAUCGUAUCGCUAUAGAUAGCGGUGCAAAUGAGCUGAGCCGAGCUCGAACCUGUCAGGCUCGAAGCUUGGCUCGAUAAAAUUUAGCUUAGUUCGAAACUCAAUCUGGCCUGGAAAUUGUAAACUUGAACUCGGCUAGAUGAAAACUCGAGCUCACAAGCUCGACUUGAUGCUCGAGCUCAAUUAAAAAUUUUUUAAGCUCGAUAAAGUUCGACGAGCUUUUAAGCUGAAUAUCAUUAUGCUCAAAUUCGAUUCAAUCAAAUUUUUUUCAAGUUGAGCUCACGAAAUCAGCGCCGCUCUUUAACACUCUUAGAGCUGCGGGCUUCCACGAGAGUUUCCUCAGGCUGUCAUAGUUCACCAUUUGAAUUUUUGGUAAAAGCAAUUUGGGAGUAUUGUUCGUCUUAUAUGCAUCACCUCUAGAAGUUAAUAGUCUCUAAAUCUAAUCGAUAUAUUAAAAACUGUAUUUUCUUUUCAAUUUCAUAGUUGUAAAUAAUGCAUAGGAGACGAUCUCGUACCUGGAAUGGAUAGGAGAAGCAGAUCAAGCAUAAAAAUAAAAUAUCCCUUCUAUGAAAUAAAAUAACUAUCAUUCAUUUUUUAUUAUAAACUUAUAUUUGUUGAUAUGAAAGGAAAGCUCUUCUUACAUAAAUUCCCCAACUCCAACGUAGAUUUAAAGUUGAAAACAAUAGACAGACUCAAUGGCUUUAGAAAUAAUUUAGAAAUAUUACUUUUUUCUAGUUGCAUGGAAUUUCCAAUGUCUUUUACGGUGAAGACUCAAGAAUGUCCUAUUAUAUGUGCAUGGAGCAACUCAUUCCAGGUAUCAGGCAAUCCUGGAACACACCAGUGAAGACAAUCUGCAAACUCAGCUGGAUUUGCCUUUUGCUUUGGACCAUUUGUAUUGUAAAAUGAAGGAUGAG
rnacentral:lncRNA from 1 species